GGUCCUGUAGUGCAGUGGUUAUCACGUCUGCUUCACACACAGAAGGUCGCCGGUUCGAGCCCGGCCAGGACCU
rfam:Angiostrongylus cantonensis strain Taiwan genome assembly, scaffold: ACAC_scaffold0000014